UACGUAGGCAGCGAGCGUUGUUCGGAGUUACUGGGCGUAAAGCGUGCGUAGGCGGCGGUCCAUGUCUGGUGUGAAAUCUCCCGGCUUAACUGGGAGGGUGCGCCGGAAACGGGGCUGCUGGAGUGCGGGAGAGGUAAGCGGAAUUCCCGGUGUAGCGGUGAAAUGCGCAGAUAUCGGGAGGAACACCUGCGGUGUAGACGGCUUACUGGACCGUGACUGACGCUGAGGCACGAAAGCGUGGGUAGCAAACAGG
rnacentral:rRNA from 1 species